ACAGGGAGGAACAUUUCUCCCAGAUUGUCUGCGUCUGGCCACAGGGAGCAUCAUUGUUUGCUUUGGACAAAAAAUUUUUUUUUUUUAUCUUUUUAAUUUUAUUAUGAAAAUUUCAAACAUGUACAAAAGGAGAGAGAAUAGUAUGAUGAGCUCCUACAAACCUAUCACCCAGGUUCAACAACUUUUAACUCAUGGCCAGUUAUUUACACCUCUACCCACUUCCCCGCAUCUCUGGAUUCUUUUGAAACAAAUCCCAAAUAGACAUUACAUAUACUCUCAUUGGCAAAUAUUUCAGCAUUUAGCUGUAAAAUAUAGGGGCUCUUAAAAAACAAAAAGUAACCUCAAUACCAGUAUCACCUUUAUGGUAGAAAGACUUUAAAGUGGCCCCAUGAUUCCUACCUCCUUGUGUAGGAACCAUACCCUUGUAUGGUCACCUCCCCUUCAGUGUGACUUGCUUCUAACUAUUGAAGCAAACUAUCUUUGUCAUCAAAGAUGAUGGGAUAUAUGUGAUUACAUGUCCAUGGUUCAUGAUUAUGUUACAUAAGAAUGCAGCCCAGUCUUGCUGGAAUCUCUUUCUCCCUUGCUUGCUCUGAGAAAGCCAGGUAUUAUAUUGUGAAGCUCUAAAGAGAAAUGCAGGUAGCCUCUAGAAGCCAAGGGCACCCUCAAGCCAAUAGCCAGAGUCAAAACAAAGCCCUCGGUCCUACAACAACAAGGAACUGAAUUCUGCCAACAACCCAAUUCUGUGAGCUUGGAAGCAGAGCUUUCCCUCCACUUGAGUGUUCAUACAAGACGGAGACCCCAGCCCUACCUAACACCUUGGUUGCUGCCUUGCAAAGGACCCAGCUAAGCGGUGCCUGGACUCCUGAUAAACAGAAACUGUGAAAUAACAAACGGGUGUUGUUUUAAGCCACCAAGUUUGUGGUUAAUUAUUACUCAGCAACAGAAAACCAUUACAACAUUAAAAAAAAAUUGGAAACAAUUACUUAAUAUUAUUGACUCUCCCGUUAAUGUUUCUAUCUCCCUGAUUGUCUUACAAAUGUUUCACAGUAUUUUUGUAAGAUGCUCUGACUUCAGCCUCAACUGUGUGAGUUGUGAGUCCUGUGCAGGUAACCUGCCGUCUAGCCAGCCCAGCCUUUCUCCCAGAUCCGACUUGGCUGGGCCUGCUGAUGCUUGUUUCCCCGGGCAACCUUUCCCAGGGCUUCCAUUGCUGAUCAGCCCUGACUCUCUACUUAGAUCAGAUUAUAGUCAGGCCAUUCUAUUCCUUCAUCGUCAGACAUUGCCAAAUUCCCCUGAGCUGAGGGGCAGGGGACAAAAUCCAUCACUCUGGUUGAGAACUACUGCUUUAAGUUGACCUUGUUUGUUUGUUUUUUCUCUGAUUUGCUUCUUCUUUCUUUUCUUAACAGCUUAACUCUCAUAAGGUAGACUGAUUCUUUCCAAGUUCUUUUCAGGGUGGGAAUCCUCCUUGCUGUCACUCCCAUGCAUUCUGCAAAUUAGGUGCCCAGCUGGGAUUUGAAUUCAGAUCUGGCCUAUAGGUCAGAUCUGCUGUUCUGCCAUCUGACACUGGUGGUAAACAGCAGUCUGUUGUCUCCUACGUAUAAGACACGGUGCUGGAAGCUGGCAGGGUGGAGAGCUGGGGGGCAGGCUGCAAAGGAGAUAGAGGGGGAGUCUAUAGAGCUCUCAAGGGACUCUAAAUGGGGAGACCAGGCUCCUCCUUUCAUGCAGAGAUAAUGAGCACUUGGUGCUGGUCUGUGACUGGGGCAUGCAUACGGUGCAUGCACUGAGCUCUAUGGCAUAGCCAGAGAGUGUUGAAAGACAGGGCUUAGAGAGACUGGGGCGUGAGCAAAGAUUCAGAGAUAAAUGCACAAGGCACUUCUGGGCUGUCUAGUUUUUACAUCUAGAAAGUAGUUGUUAGGUUCUGUGGGGACAGAGAGAGUAAUAAAAAAUAGUUCUUAAACUAACAGUUCAGUUGAAGAGAUGCAUGUAAACACAAGGAUGGAGAAAUAAUCCUGGAAACUACUCUUUUUGCCAUUUUCUUAAACUGUUAAAAUUUGUAGGAAGGACUUGGAGAUCAUGGCAAUUGUGAAUCAUCUCCAGUGAACAAGAAAGGGUAGAAGUGUGGUUCAAAGUGUGGUCCCAGACAAGCAGCAUUUGCUCUACCCGGGAGCUUGUGAGAAAAACAAAUUCUCAGGCCCCAUUCCAGUCCUGUUGAAUCAGAAGCUCUGGAGGUGGGGACAAGAAAUAUGAUUUUUUAACAAGUCCUUCAGAAGAUUUGGUGUGUAUUUAAGUUUGAGAACCACUGGUAUUCAGGUUUCGAAAUUUAGCCACUGUUUUCUUCCCUCCCAAGGGACAAUUGCCUAUGCAGCUCAAUAAUUUAAAAAUGUACAUUGCCUCAAAAUCUCCCAACCAUACCAAUAUACCUCCUGUUUAGCUCAGUUUUGCUGGAGCUGGGUGGUUUUACUUUUUAUUUUUUUAAUUUUCUAAAUUAGCUACAGUUCUGUUCAGCAUAGAAAACUAAACUCAGGUGGGAGCUGUUUAGUAAUAAACAGAUUAGUUAAUUAGCCAUGAUUUAUUAAUGAUGAAUUAAUUAUACCUGAUUGUGCAGUUCUGCUAGCUAAAGGGAGCUUUAAAGGAGUUAUUUUAUUAAUCAUCAUGAUGCUAAUUGCAGACACUUACAGAAGGACCACUAAUUAAACAUGCAACCAUAUGCAGAACAACUUGGGCUGCUGAGACCUGCAAGAGUAAGAGACACUGAUUUUUAGGGGAGUCAAAACAAUCUUACUUCAAUAUUAGGGGGUUGGCUUGGUAAUCUUAAUCGUUCACUGCAAAUUCAUAUUGUAAUCCUUUCCAGCAGAACUUGAUCCCUAUAUCAAAAAGUAGAUAGCACUCUGGUAAGAUUUCCGUUAAGAGGGAAAAAUUGUUCAAUCUUGUUUUAUGUUUUACACACAUGUAAACUGCUAUACUGAAUGUUUGCUAAACAGAGACCAUUGACGGAUGGAAUGGGAUUUACAGCACAGAGUCAAAACCAUAUACCAGUCCUUUGUACCAGAGCAUCUCAGAUCAAGAAAGAGAAGACUGCCAGCACCUCAGAAGGUCCUAUGUUCCCUUUCCUGAUUAUAAGACUCUCCUUCCUCCUGGAGUUAUUACCAAAAAAAUGCCACUGUGAAGAUUCUUCUUUAUGCGUCGUAACGUACACAUGCAACAUUUUCUCUUUGAUGCAAGAUAACUCCAGGCACUGAACCACCAUCAACAAAUAUAUGGGUGUGUUUAUAGAUCAUCAUCAAAGAUUUUUGAAACUGUUCUUACCGCACUGAACCAGAAGAUACUUUCAAGGAACCAGAAACAUUUAAGUGUCAGCUUCUUAAGAAUUUUGUGGGCUCUCAAGCAUACUCUGCAAAGUGCAUGGACCAAAUUGAACCUGUUCUGCAUUCAGAAAGUGAAAACAGUGCCCUGUGGCUUAGCUCUUUGUCUUCAUUUGUUUAGGCUGCUCUAACAAAAAUGACAGAGACUAGGUGGCUUAUAAACAACAAAUAUUUAUUUCUCAUAGUUCUACAGUCUAGAAGGCCAAGAUCAAGGCACUGGUAGAUUUGGCGUCUGGUAAGAGCCUCUUUCUUGCUCACAGAUGGCAGUCUACUCAUUGUGUCCUCACAUGGUGGAAGGGGCAAAAGAGAUCAUUAUCACCUCUUUUGUAAGGGCACUAAUCCCACUCACAAGGGCUCCACCCUCACGACUUAAUCACAUCCCCAAAGCCCCACCUCCAAAUACUGUCACACCGGGGACUGGAUUUCAACAUACGAAUUUUGGGGAGACACAAACAUUCGGUCUAUAGAAGCCCUUCUGGGGCACUGCCUUAUACACUGUUUUCUGAUGAUGUCAAAUACUGGAGAGGCCAGAGUGGUUUAUGAUUAUGUAAAUGCAAGAGCUGGUUGAAGCUAUUGCAAUACCUUUGGGCCAGGUUAUUUUAAGUUACAAUGGACAGUUCACGAAUUUCAUCAACUAACUGGAGGCUCUUUCUAGCUAAAAUCAUGAUUUCAGCAUAAAAGAAAAGAAGAGGUAAGUUAAAUGUGAACACCUGUUCUUCUAAAAUUGCUCUACUGCAGGUACCAGCCCUUGAGAGUUGGCAGAUGGUUUUGUGUUUCUAAGCCUGACCUUAGCAGCCCUUCAUCAAUCUUGCACUGAUUGAUUCUCAGGAAAGAGGAGGUACUGGCUUCCUGGGAUACCCAAGACACCUUUGAUUUAGUUACUACCUGAAGACCAAUUAAUUAUCCACACUGGUUUUCUCAAGUUUUCCUAACAGAGCUGGGCACAGCCUGGCUGGGGUGGCUUUUUAAUGUGGUUACUACAUUUACCCAUAUUAUCAAGUCCCCACCCAUACCCCAGUGCAGUCACUGUCCAUCA